rnacentral:lncRNA from 1 species
ACACGUCUCACGCCUCGCUCGUAGCCUCUGUAAGGAAAACAAAUGACGUGGAAUGAGUUAAAAGCCCAGUGAGGUUCCAAAUAGCAAGUUGACCAUUUUUUUAAACGUGCAAGUAUCACGUAGCAAAGUAAUGAGCAUGAAAAGUUCAUAAAAGUGGACAAUAACACUUCAAGUAGCAAUUCUCAAAAUGAGCGAGUGUAAAGUUUUCUUUUAAAACGAAACAAUAACACGCUAAGUACUAAUCAUUCCAAAGUAUAACGAUAUGGAUGGCUCUUCGGAGCCAAAUUCCCAUAACAUCACCAGAAUUUGAUCAAGUAAUAGUUGACACUCCGUCAACUUUCAAGUAAGUAACCAAUCCCGUAGAGCAUCACUUAAACUACUCUCCAUCCACCAUCCAAACCCCCUAUUGGGCCCAAAAUCCUCAAUAAACACUAGUGGUAAUACUCGAGUAUACCGAUUAGUCGAGGAGAUAUCACUCUACUCAACAAAACAAAGACCCAGGGUUCGUUACCCAAUCGACCAAGCCCUUGCCGGCUCAACUCGAGUAACUUGCCACAAGGUUUCUGGAAUUCCAGGAAGUGCGCACCAUAUACACAAAUAUAUCAAAUCCAUUGCAAUAAUAAACAAAUAUACCUCAUAUUAGGGCAAGUGUAAUAAAGUACACUCCUGCCCAAUCAAACAAAUGACAUAUCAUUAAAUCACAUUGGUCAAGUAUUGAAAAUAAGUGUCCAACUCAAUCAAGUAUUUGGAAGCACUCACCAAAAGUCUAGUACCUCUCAAAGUCACGUUCAGGUCCAACUCCUUGAUUGGAGUCCAAAUCUGCGAUAAAUAUCAUUUGCGAAUGUAAAACUCUCUAGAGUGCGAAACAUAGGAGUUUCGCUUCAAGAAAAUUAAGUAAAUGCAACUCGUUUAAGUAGUAUUCAAAAUACUUAUCAAAUUCCGAACAAUUCAUGCUCGCUCUUAAAACUUUGAAACUUUGAAGCAAUUAUAUUUGACAUACCAUUUGAGUCGAAGAAAUGGAGAAAACGUAUUUCUUUUAGUCGUAAAUUUCAUUUUUUCAAGGGUACAAGUUUUGGCCGAAUUCUAAUUUAUAUAUCUCGAUAAAAGAAGACACAAAUAUCCUAGAUGGUUCAAGUGGUAUUCGUCCUCAAAUCCUUACCUAGUCCUCGAGUGCAAAUUUGGGCAGCACGCCCUUUGUAUUUACCUAUUUUCCAGCCAUUUAUGGCCCCAUUCUUUUCCUCAAUCAGUCCCAAAGUCACACAUAAAGUAAUCUCAUUUCAAUAGCCGUUCAAUAGGCUCAAUGUCGUACAGUACAAAAUCAAGUUAGGAAAAUAUCCGGAAAUGAAGUUUAAGUCAUAAAACAAAAGAUAGAUUUAACGUCGCUUAGCGUAUCGGACACAGCCAAAGCUACGCUUAUCAAAUUUAUGUGCAAUUCAUACCAUUUUGAAGCUAAGAUAAAGGGCUACAACUUUGAUGAAGACCACUCAGUCCAGUUUGUAGUGUAUCCAGGUCAAAAUUUCAAAUUACAAAACCAGAAUCUCACAAUCAGGCUAGUUAACCGCACUAUACGUAAAUGACAAUAACUCACGCUACUGAAGUCCAAUUGAGGCUUUUUCAGGGCCGUUGGAAAGCUAAGACAUAACACUACAACUUCUGUGUUUUAGCCAAAUGCUAAUUCAGUACGUAUCAGGGUGAACAGAUGCGGUCAGAUAGGUGAAAUGUCGACACUGUCCACAGAUCUCUACCUAUGGCAGUUAGGGGUAUUUUUGUCUUUUCAUGUGCUACAGUGCUUGAAUUGAGUUGAAAUUUUACAGAAAGCUAUAAAACAUCAUUCCCUAUAACUUUUAUGUUUUGUGCUGAAUCUAAUUCGGCCUCCAUCAUGGUCAAACAGAACUGGGCAGAACAGAGCAAUGAAGAAUCUCAAUUCUGGAAUUUAAGGUAUUCAAGGUGAAAUUUCACAUUUCUAGCUUAAAACCACUACUACUACCUCCUAUACAAGUCUAAAUACACCAUAUACCAUCCAAAAAACAAGAAUUACAAGUAAACCAUUUAAAACCCUAACUCAAAAUUCAUCACUACAAUCAUCAAAAUCACUUAAAUUAGGUAUCACCAAGUAUGAAUUCAAGUUACUACAUUACUCAAACAAGAGUAAGGGAAAAGGAAAGGAUGGUCAGCCAUAAUACCUCAAUAAAAGGGCUUGCAAGAGUUAUCCUUCACCUUUCCUUAUGAAAUUUAGCUCCCUAAACUUCCCAAGCUCUCAAUUUACAAGUUAAUCGGUUUAGUUUUUUCAUUUUCUCAAUCAAUCAAGCAAAACCCAAGAUGGAUUGAAGCUCUUUUUCUCUUGUUUUUCUCCUCCUCUCUCACGGCUGGCAUGGUGGAAUGAAGAACAAUUUGAGUAGUGUUUUUGGUGAUAAAUAUGGCAGAAAUUAGUUGGUUUUAGGUUGGGUCAAAGAUAGUUAGAUUGCUUCCACUUGUCACCAAGAGAUUAGCUUCCAAAAUUUUUUCUUUUCCUCGGAUUUUUUAGUCAAGAAUUUCGGCCAUCACAUGCUGAUUAUGGGCUGAUAUUUUGGCUCUAAUAACAAUGAGAUUAAGUUAAUGAAGUGGUGGUCAAGUGGUGUAUUCAAUCGAUAGUGAACAAUACCCGUCGGUUCGAGCCGAUUUUCCUUAAAUCGCAUAUACUAGGGUUUUGUCUUAUAAUUCACUAACCUAGUAUUAUCACUUUUAAUCACACACUUAAUAUCAUCUAAAACUCACUCUUAAUCACCAAAUUUGAUACACACUUCGUACCGAAUAGUCACACUACGAAAAGGCGUAAAAACCCUAAUUUGUGAUAACUUGAAAACGAAAGGGAAAACCCUUAAUUCUAUGUUCAUUUGCACUUAUUGUGGGGUGAUUGAGUAGUAAGGCUUUUAAAAAAGUAAUAAAUGCCAAAUAAAAGGGAAUUUUAAGAAAAAUAUAAGGGAUUUUACAAUUCCAUAGAUUAAAAGUAGGGUUUCGAGUAAAAUAUGAGAGAUUUAAGAAAACCUGUUAGUCACAUAUAAAACUAGGGUUUUAAGUACAAGUAGGGUUUCUAAUCUUUAAAACAAAACAAUGUCUUAAAACAAAAUAAAAUAUAGAAACCGUAAUAUCUUAAAAGUCGAGGUAUCAUAUCUGUAUUGGGCCGAACAACUAUCCGAGUUACUCCAUUCAAAUUAUCUCCCACCUGCUUGAGCACUAACGAUGGGAGAUGGGAAAAUGCAAGUUUGAAAGAAGUAGUGCGUUAUCUCAUCGUCGACCUUAUAUAACUAAUGGUGAUGUUUGGUAGUGGAAUGCAGGCGUAGGAAGAUUCCAAUUGUGAAACACAUAGUCAAAAAAGUAGAUGUCACUUUUUUAGACCUCCUCGUGACCACUCUUCUUUGGAAUCACAUUGCGCCCCAUCAUAUAGAUAAUGAGGCGAUGGCGAGUGUCAAAAACGCUAGCAACUAUCGUCUCUUUCCUAGAGGAGCGGAAAGGUUGGUACUCGAGAUCAAAUUGAGACAUGGCAUGUAAUGGAUCCCAUCUCUCAUUGGGAGCAACAAACCCGUUCUUCAAAUCAACAACUGGACUAGUGUUGCAACCCAAAAUGUGCGUGAUGAGAUCACGAGUCAAGCAAAUCUGAGUACAGCACACCCAGGAGUCCACCAACUCUCCACUGUGACUUGCCUUGUUGACUAUGUUGGCAUAAAAUUUAUGCACUAAGUCUGAAUAGUAAUGAGUCAGCAAAGUGAGAAUAGGCACCCACCCAAGCUGGGUAAACGUCUCAAAUAUGAUAAACCGUCUCAAUUUCUGAACUAAUAUGCUUUUCAAGGAUGAACUCCAAAUUAACAUGUGUUUCGUGCUACUCUUGAUUGCUUCGACUUGAAAACCUAGCACCAUCACAAACAUUCACCUCUGAGCAUCUAGAUGUACUCCCCCAUUAACACCUCGUCAUGGAUUGGGUGAAGGAGACCUAUCUUCUUCACUUUAUUUAAUCUCCUCAAUCACUUCCAUCUCUUCGCUUCCUUCAGUAUCCUCGGUGCUCGAAGAGGAAGGCUUACGAAUAACAUGUCUUUUUCCUCUUGUCAUGGCAUCUAAGAAAGAAAGUAUAAUUAGUUUCUUAUACCAGACCAAAAUUUUGCACACCUCACAUAUCAUACUAGAAGUUAUUCUUAUAAAAUGCUUAAAGAAGAAUUUUGCCACUAUAGCAACCAUAGGCAUAUUAUAGAAUUAUCAUUCAUAUAUAGGGACUAAAAUUGGCUCUAUGAUCCACAAAUACACAUCUCCAUGUCAUAAAGAAUCAAUUAAAUAUUCAAUAAUGCAUAAUAUUAUAACAUGAAAGACAUGACAUUAAAAUGAUCAAAAAUUUGUCAAAAUCACCAAUUUAUUAAAAUAUGGAAACAAACAUUUUCCAAUUCAUGAAUUUGGUAAUAACCAAAUUUAUAGCAAGCAUUAAUUAGUAACAAUAAUUCACAUUUAGCCAUAAAUAUGAUUAAGCAAAAAUUACCCCAAAAAUCACAAAAUUCAUUAAAAUUACUCUCUAUACACAAUGUACUUGCUAAAACAUUAUCAACCAACCAUUGUUAGUUAUAAUCAACAAAAAAAAUAGCUCAAAUAACAAUCUAAAUUACUUUUUUGGUUUUAUCCAAAUAUAGUAACUUUAAAAUUUAAACAGCUAAUAAAACAUUAAACUGCUACAUUUGAACAUGUAAACAUACUUAAACAACCUUAAUAAGCCUAUUAGAAGCCAAAAACAUCAAUAAACAUCAUCAAAAAUGUGAAAUUAGAAGAUGCCAGAAAGCUUAAGAAAUUGAAAAAUACCAACUUCUAAAAUACAAAAAUUUGAUGAAGAAACUACCAUCAAUCACGUAAAAAGAUGCUUGGAGAAGAAGAUUAUGCAAAAAAACCCUAUGAAAAACACCCCAAUUGACCUCCAAUUGAUGAAUUUAAGAGUUAAGAACCCUAACUUCGAAUUUCUCAAAAAUCAAAUUUUAGGUUAUUUUUCUUGAAUUUCAACUAGUUAAAAAGACUCUAGGAAGGUUAAAUGGUGUUGGGUUGAUAUUUUUUUCCAAGGAAUUGGAAUAAAAAUGAAGAUUUGUAAAGUGUGUGUAAUAGUGUGGGAGAAGUGUGUGAGAAUACGUGGCCUUGAGGAGGAGAAGAAGAAGAAGAAGAAAAAUGAACCCACGUUUAGUCACUUUAGUGCCUUUAAAAGAAGUAUUGAAAAUGCAGCAAGAAAAUAUGGCUUUGAGCUCACAUUUUUGAACUCGCAUUUUCUACUUUAAAUUUACAAAAGACAAAACGUGGGUUCAAGAAAACUUGAUCUUAGGUCACGUUUUGAUGUCCAUAUUUUCUGUUGAAAAAUUGCAGAAUGCAAUACGUGACUAUGAAAAUGCAACCUUAAGUCAUGUAUUGAGCCUGUAUUUUCUUCAUUCUGCAUUUUUUCUGCAGAAAUUUCGAACUUUCCUAAAAUUAUACUUGUUGUCCCAAUUGCUCAAAUUACAUUCUAGAUCAUUCUUUUGUCAAAAUAAUCAAUGCACACACAUGUAAAAUGAUCAAAACAUGCAUUUUACCCCUUCUUAACGAAUAAAAAACAGCAUUUGCUCAAAUCGAGGAGUUGAGUUCCUUGAUCAAAGUUCACAUUUUUCACAUCAAAUGAUCAUCCUUGCUUCUAUAUUCAAAACCAAUAAUACAAAAAUAAUAAAAUAAUUUAAAUACAUAAUUUAAACACAAAAUCACACUAAAUUAAUAUAUAUCAUAAAGACAUUAGGUUGUCUCCCAAUUAGUGCUUUUAUUCAUAGCUGCUUUCUCGAUUCAAAAGCAUUGACUCCUAAGGUUGAAGAAGAAUCACCCAAAGGACAUAUAAGUCCCUUGGGGAUGAUUUCACCCGCCAAAUAGGGUUUUAAUUUUUGUCCGUUGACCUUGAACCGCCCAUUUCUUGCAUUAACUACUUCAACGGCUCCAUAAGGAAAUACUUGAGUCAUUUCAAAUGGUUCUGACCAUCUUGACUUGAGUUUUUUUGAAAAUAAUUUAAGGCGUGAGUUGUACAAAAGUACUUUUUUGCUCCACCUCAAAUUGUUUAGGGAUAAUAUGCUUAUCAUAUCAAUAUUUCAUCUUUUUUUUAUAAAUUUUGGUAUUUUCAUAAGCAUGUAGUCGGUGUUACGCUAAUUCACUUAACUCAAGCAAUCUUCUUCUAUCUGCAAGAUUAAAAUCUAUGUUAAUUGAUUUAAUAAUCCAAUAUGCUUUAUGUUCAAUUUUCACAGGUAAAUGAUAAACUUUUUCAUAAACCAAACAAUAUGGCGACAUCUCCAAGAGUGUCUUAAAUGACGUCCAAUAAGCUCAAAGUGUAUUAUCGAGUUUUCUAGUCCAAUCUUUUUGUGAUUUGUUCACUGUUCUCUCCAAGAUGAGUUUGAUUUUUCAAUUUGUUAACUUCGCUUGUCUAUUUGCUUGAAAAUAGUAUGGAAGUGAUGUCUUGUACAUACAAUUAUACUUAAUCAAUAAGAAAUCAAGUUUUUUAUUAUAAAAUACUUUCCUUCAUCACUUACUAUGACUCUAGGUAUACCAAAUCUAUUAAAAAUAUUUUUUUUAGAAAAUAGAAAUACUACCUUAGUAUCAUUCAUAGGUGAAACGUGCAACUCCACCCAUUUGGAGACAUAAUCUACGACUACUAAGGUGUACUUAUCAUUAAAAGAAUUAGAAAACGGUCCCAUAAAAUUCAUCCCCCAAACAUCAAUUAAUUCAACUUCUAAAAAAGUUGUAAGAGGCAUUUCAUUUUUUCUUAAUAUGUUUCCAAUUUUUUGACAAACAUCACAAUUUGUAACAUGUUUCCUAACAUCCCAGUACAUUGUUGGGUCAAUAAAAUUUCAAUUGUCAUACCUUUACUACAGUUUUUGAAGUACUAAAAUGAUCCCCCGUUUCUAGGUUAUGACAAUGAUAUAAAAUAUCACGUAGUUCACUUUCAGGAAUACAACUAUGUAUCAUACCAUCGGUAUAAUAUUUAUAAAACAGUGGUUCCUCCCAAAAGUAAUUUUUCACGUCAUGCAAGAAUUUCUUCUUUUGGUGAUAAUUAAAACCUUUCGGUAUUACUCUACUUACCAAAUAAUUGGCAAAAUCUGCAUACUAUGGAGAAUUAACAAUUGCUAAGACAAAUUCAAUCAAAAAAUUCUCUUUAAUUGAAAUUUGAUUAUUAGUAGGGAUGUACUCUAGUCGUGAUAGGUGAUCCAUCACAAGAUUCUUCAAUCCCUUUUUAUCUUUUAUUUCUACAUCAAAAUUCCCACAAUAAAAGAAUCCAUCGAAUUAGAUGAAGUUUUGUAUCUUUCUUAUGGAACAACUAUUUAAGAGUUGAUUGGUCCAUAUAAAUGAUCACUUUAGAUCUUACUAAAUAGGAUUUAAAUUUAUUUAAAACAAAUAUCACUGUCAAUAGUUCUUUUUUCGUGGUUGCAUAUUAAGUUGUGUUUCAUUAAGCAACUUGUUUGCAUAAUAAAUUACAUGCAGCCUUCCUUCUUUUGACCUAAAACAGCUCUAACCUUCCUUCUCUUUGGUUUCUAUUGUUAAUAGAAUUGACAAUUUGACCUACUUGGACCUCCAUAUUUCUAUACAUCCCGGUCAAUUGAUCCAAUCUCCCCUUUAGUCGCUCAAAUCUUUUCGAGGUGCUGUUGGCCAGUUUUUCCAUCGCAAUCUCCGAACCUGAUUUAGUGUCCGUUUGUGAUUGUUUUGGUUGAAAUUCUAGCAAGUUAGUCAACUUUUAAGGAUUGCUUUGAUUCUUCAUCCAAAAUUUGGAUGAUUUCUCCACUCCGGAUUGUAUGUGUUUAAGUAGGGGUUAUUUUGAAUAUUUCUAUUGUAAUUAUUGACAAAUUAAGUUUGCUCAAAAUCAAUACACUCAUUCGUAUUAUGUUCACCCCCACAUGUAGAACAAUAAGCAACAUGUACAUUAGGUGAAGAAUUUGGACCAACUUUGACUUGUCUACUUAGCAAUUUUACUAUGUUGUUUAUUUGGGCACUUAACAUAUUUAGAGUGUCCAUUUCGAUCAUAUCUGCUUGCUGUCGAGAAUUACUUUGAUCAUUCGCCCUUUGAUAGUUAUUUGCCGCCAUUUUUUCUAUUAAAUUUUGAGUUUCUUGGAGCGAUUUACCCACUAACGUUCCCUUUGUAACUGUAUCAAUUGUAGUUUUAGUCAAGAAAAAUAAACCAUUAUAGAAGAUUUGGACAAUGAGCUAAUCAGGAAGUCCAUGAUGAGGACAUUUUCAUAGCAAAUUUCUAAGCCUUUCCUAAGGUUCAUACAAUAAUUCACUCUCUUGUUGACUAAAAAUAGUUAUGUCCAUUCUAAAUUUAGCCAUUUUAUCGAGUGAAAAGUAUUUGGUGAAUGUAUUUGGAGCAUCCCAAAUGGUGAAAGUAUUUGGAGCAUGAGAAUACAACCAAACUUUAGGUUUAUCUCACAAAGAAAACAGGGACAACUUUAACCUAAUGGCAAAAUGUGGCUAACUUUAACCUUACUUCACUAACUCCUUUCAUUUUAAUAGUAUCACAUAUUUUAAAAAAUGUGGCUAAGUGUGCAUUUGAAUCCUCUAUAGUAUCACCUCCAAAUUGAGAUUAUUGAUUCAUUUGAAUGAGUGAUGGUUUACUCUCAAAAUUAUUAGCGUUUAUCGUUGGUCGUGCUAUGUUUGUUUGUGAUCCUUGAGUCCUCGAUAAAGCAAAAUCACUAAAAACUUGCCCAUUUGUUUCAUUUUUUGCCAUUUUUUCUUCGAAAGGCAACUCUAUAGCGAUUCUCUCGAUAUGUUGAGUCUCAUUUUCCUCUCGUGGUACACGCUUUCUUUGUCAUCUUAGUGUCCUUUUAAUUUUCGAAUCAAAAGGUGCAACAACGUACACACAACGUCCGGUGUAUACACUACAAGUAAGAAGAAAAGAGAUAAUGUAGUAGCUAUAUCACAAAAACAAAUAAAAAUUCUAACCUAUCUAUCGACACAAUUCAACUAACUAAUAAAGAAAACAUCUAAAUUAAUAAAACUUGUUAGAUCUAAAUAUUGUCGAUCCCCGACAAUGGGGUCAAAAACUUGAUGGGUUCUCAAUAUAAGUGCAAGUUAAUUCAAAAUAUACCCGUUUGACUAUAAGUAUAAAGGACAAAUAAUAGUUUAGAAUAUAUAUUGGUCGAUUCCACGAGGAGUAACUAUUACAAGUACUAGAUCCUUUACUUGCUCAACAAUACUUACUAACUAACUAUUUUAACUAAAUAAUUUGUAAGAUAACAAUGGAGAAAUGUCACUAAAUACUUGAGUUUAGGGAAAUAGAAUCCACUUAUGGCACAAAAGAUACAAGUGAAUAUAUUUACCUCUUGUCACUACUUUUGUUUAACUAGAAAUUCAUUUCCAUAUUUGCCAAAAUUCACUCUUAUGAUGUAGUGGUUUAGAAUAGUCCAGUUUUCCCUAUUCUCAUUGUGAAUAACUAAAUCUACUCUUUUGUUCUUCAUGAAAUGCAAGGUUAAUCCCCUUAAGUGUACCUUUAUUCUCAUGAGUUUACUUCUUAAGCUCCAUUUAUAUUGUUCCAUCAUUAUUAUAAAUUUUUUUUGAAUAAAAUAACUAAAAACUUGCUAUUGGUGAUCAAGUAAUAAGUAUGCAUAAAUGGACAAGUUAAUACAAGAGAUAGCAAGUGUAAAUCAUAUUCAACUCAUAUCAAGUAGCUAUAAGGUCCAUCUACUCUCGAGAUCUAGAAAUUUAGCCACUCAUGUGAUAUAAGACCAUAAAAAGUAUAACUUCAUUGUAUGCAAAUAUAAUGAAUCACAAGUAAAGAGAAAGAUGGAGAAAUCUUAGCCAAGGUAAUGAACAAGCUUCCAAUCUUCUAUUUCUUCAAUAAAAUGAGUAAUACAAUGAAAUUCUUCAAAUUUUUCCUAAAAGUUUCUAGCUAGAGAUGAGAAGAAAAUACUACAACUAAUUUCUACCAAGAACUUCUAAGAACUCCUUCUCUGUUCAAUGAUUCUUGCAUAUUAAUAUUAGGAGAGUCAAAAAGUGAAAAAUGAUAUGGCAUAAAGUUCCUAUUUCCUUCCCUAAGGAAUCUUGAGCAUGUGCAGCCAAAAUACUGAGUUAAAAUUGCGCUGAAAAGCAGUGUAAAAAUAGAGCAAGUUGCAGAACAAGUUACAAAAAAAAAAUAGGGCACAAUAUGUGAGCCUACAAUACGUGACCUAAGCCCACAUAUUCGAGGUCGUGUAUUGCUUUCAGGUACAUUUUCUUGCUUCUUUUCUGCUCCAAUUGAUCACUAUCAUCACAUGCAAGAUGUCCAAGUGGUUGUUCAUCUAUUUCACCAAUAAUACUUGCAUUUGAUGCUCUUCAACUUCCCAAAUAUAACUAACUUUGCACAUUAAGUUGCUCAAUUGAAACUCACAAAAUUUAGAAGUUUAGGGAGCAAGUUACAUCUUAAAACAUCCUAAUUUGUACCAAAAAUAGGCACAAAAUGCUAUUUAAAAACACUCAUAAUAAACAUUUAUUAAAUUUUUCCACACUUGAACCAUUGUUUGUCAUCAAACAAUAAGAAAAAUGAUCCAAUAAUGAUUUAAGAAGUAAAAUGAAUCAAAUGAAUUUGAACAUCAAUUUCUCUCGACUCGGCAAGUUUUCAUUAUGCAACCAUUCAUAGCACGCUCAAUACUCAUCAUAUCAAGCAAAAGAGAGAUAAUUAUACCAAAAUUUAACCUAACAAAAUCAAUCUCUUUAUCUCGCAUAGUCUCACAAAUAACUAACCUAUAUAAUCACCUUAGAAUUUCUUCCUUUGAAAUGAAAUGUUAACUUUACGAACUUUAAGAGGGAACUAUUCACUUUACUUCUCUUUUAUUCAUUCUUAAAAGGGUGAAAGUGUCUUUUUACAUGAAAAUCGAUAUUUUAGAUGAAGAUUUUCGAUUAUUCAACAAUUCACUUAUUUCUCCUUAAUUCAAGUAUCUUUUUACAUGAAAGUCGACAUUUGUAGAUGAAAACUCCCGAUUACUCAAUAUAAUAAUUUAUUGAAACUCUCUUUGUUUUUAUGAGCAAUUCUUUCAAUAAUGUAGAUACAAGAAAGAAAAAACUUUAGGAACUAUAUAAAUUAAUUACAUGUAAAAACAAGUAAGAUGAGAUAUUUCAUUUAUCUUGCAAAAUUGUAGGCAUAAUUUUUCCUAUUUUAUAAGAUAUUUUCUCAUAUGUAAUAGUAGUAAUCACAUAAUAAUUGCUUUCAAGUCAAGUGAACAUUGACUUCUCCAAUUACUUACUUCAUUUCACUAAUAUAGGAGAAUUUUAAAUAAAAAGGGACUUAAUUGUCAUGCAUUUAUGGACUCAAAUGAAUGACGUACUAAAAAUUUAGGGCAAAUUUUGAAUUGUGGACAAGAUUUUGAAAAAAUUGUAAUAGAGCUUCCCCUUAAAACUAGAUGAAACUCCCUGUCAAAAAUACCCAAGAAUCAACAAUUUAAAGCACAAAAUAAUUUUCCAAUAACAUGUCCAAUAUUUAAAUGCUAAAGUAACUUCUAUGUAGGACAUUCCUUCCCCCACAUUUAACAUACACAUUAUCCUCAAUGUGUAGGGAAAAAAAAUAAAGAAAAUAAAAAGAAGUUACUCCCCAAAUCAAUGGUUGAGAUCUAGUUCAACCUUGAGUCACGAUCUAUUGGCAAUCAAUGACGAAAAUCAAUUAGAAUUUCCAUAAGUCCCAAGUGCAAAAAGAUAAGUGCAAGUUAAACAUUCUACAAGGAAAAGAUAUAAAGAAAACUACUAAUAAACACAGAAGCAAAAGCAAAAGGCAUCAAGAGGCCGGCAUGUCUUCAAUCAUCGACGGCAUCAUCAUUAUCAUAGUGAGCUGGAGGUAUGUCCAAAUGCUCUUCAAUCUGCCGCAUGCGAAUAUCCAUUGACCUUACUUGAUAUUCAAUUGUAUCCAAUCAAUUAAAAAAUUGCCGCCAAUUGGAUUGAGGUGGUGGAGGAGGUGAAGCAGCAGUUGAUAGUCCAGUUUCAUCUUGGCAAUGACAUGCCUUCUAUCGUCGCUCCUGAGUAGGCGAAGGAAUAUGCUAUAUAGCAAUUCCCAUGACACGGAAUGAAGAAACGGAUUGUUCUGUGUUGGGGCUAACAGCUAUCGGAGUUACUCCAUUCAAAUUAACUCCAAUCUGCUUGAACACUAACAACAGGAGACGGGGAAAUGCAAACUUGAAGGAAGUAGUGUGCCAUCUCACCGUCAACCUUAUAUAACUGAUGAUGAUGUUUGAUAGCGGAAUGCGGGCGUAGGAGGAUUCCUGAUUGUGAAACAUGUAGUCUAGCAAAUAGAUAUCACUUUUUCAAAUCUCCCCGUGACCACUCUUCUUUGGGAUCACAUUGUGCGUCAUCAUAUAAAUAAUAUGUGACAGCCACACCUUCUCCUAGGGCGUAUCCUAGAAAUUAGCAGACCAUCUACCUGACUCUCGUCAGGACUCACUCACUCACAUUAACUUCAGAGAUAACAUUACCAUUGAACAACUGAAUAUUCACUCUUAAGCACAACUUCAAUCAGCUUGAAACAUAAAUUUGUCCAAUAAAUGAAAUAAAAUACAUGUUCUAAACAUCCAUUCUUAAUAGCACACCAAACUCAUGAUAAAAAGUUCGACCAUUUCAAGGUACCAAAGAAACCUUGAGUACAAUAUAUACACAUUAACGGAUCUUCUAAAAUAAACUUUCUAAUUCAACCCAAUCACUCUUCAAUCUCCAACUCUUGUAAGGAAAACGAAGCUAAACGGGUUGAGCUAAAGCUCAUUGAGGUUUGCCGAGCAAAUACAUUUAAUAAACACUUAAAUCAGUACAAUUAAGCGAGUGGUGCACAUUUCACUGUGUAAUCACUUUCAUUAAACAAUUGAGAAAACACUUCACCGAACAAUCACUUUUAAAAGGAUACGGUACUCGCAUUAGAGCCACUUCAAUGCACUACACAUUCUACCAAACUCCUCCUUAUAACCUCCAAAACAAUAAACACUUCCUCAAUUUUAGAUGGCCAUAUCAAUAUCAGUGAUUUGCUACACUGUGGUGAUACUCGAAUAUAUCGAAAGACUUACCCAAAGCUACCGUCCUACCCGACCAAGCCCUUUGCUAGCUCGAAUAGUCCGUUGAACAGAGGGUUUUGGGGCCAGUUCAGCUAGUGUGAUAAAGUACACACACGGCUUACAGUCAUGCACACUUACAAUAUCACUUGAUCAAUUAUCAACCUUCAAGCCCAACUAAACCGAGUGCGAUAAAGUACACCCUCGACUUAGAAGGUAAGGGACAUUUGAAAUAUACUUUACAAUAAAUCAUUUAGUAAUAAUUCAUAAUAAGCACAUUUGUCACAUAAUUACACUUAGGUACACAUAAAAGGUUAAACACAUAAAUUCGGAAAACACUUACCAAAGAUUCAAUGAACUAUUCGUGAGUCUCGAGUUUGUUUCUUGGCUCACAGCUAUUUCGUGGGGCAAAUUAAUAAUUUCAAGUGAAUACAUAAUUUGUCGAGGAUCAUUUAUUAUUCUUAUCUUAUUAUUUAAACUAUUAAAAUCAAGUUUGACCUUAAAAUACAAAAUAUAAUAUAUUCACUAUUUAUUCUACAUUUUAUUUUGUAACCUAUUGCCUUUAUCAUUGUCACCUUAUACUUGAACUUAUUAAAUUCACGUCUUGGUUUAGAACAAGAUAUAUUUAAUUUCUAUUUUAUAUUUUUACCUCAAACUUAUCAAUUUUGUCAAUUUAACUGAAGAAGUAAACAUAUAAUUCAAGUUUAAAGACUUCUAAAAUAUUUAGAUCAAGAUUAAACCAUUUCUAUCCACUAUUCUAAGGUUAAGGCAAGUAGCCUUUACAUGCAUUGUUUUUAACCAACUUAGAUUCUAAGCUGCCUAUAGUUUAAAGUUUACGUAAAUUUGCUAAUCUUCUAGCUUUCCCUACCUGCUGUCAACACAUGCCUUGCUAAGGUUCAUCCAUGCCCAUAGUUCAAGCUCAUAAUUAAACUCAAAUCAGCCCCUAACACUAUUCGGAUGAGUUCUUAGUUGUUACCGCAACAUGUUAACUUUACUCCAGCCAAAUGACAGUAGAUAUAACUAAUAUUUUCCUUAGAGUUUGUGGCUGUUUUGCCCUCCAUUUGUAUUUUACAUGAAGAUCUGUAAUUCAUGAUAUUUAAUGUUAUCAUGUUUAACUCCGGAUCCGCUAUAAAUCAAUUUGCAAACUCGCACCUCCCACAUCAGAAACCGAAUGAUAACAUGUCAGCUAUAAACAUUCCAAAAGCAAAACUAUCCUUCUCGAGUUCUUCAUUUCCUCACUUCCUACUUAUCAUACAAAUGGUAACUUUCAGCCACAGUAUAUCUUAACAGCAACGUAAAGUGUACAGCCAAGGGAACUGAAACCCAUAGCUGAAACAGGCCUCCUUCUCGGCCAACUUGAAACAAAAUUCUUGCAGGAACUAGUUAUGCAACAUAAAGCUCUUCAAAGUGUUUUUAGUUAUAUACCAAUCUUCCAUGCAGGUUAAAGCUGAGAUACUAUGUAACGAAUCAAGUUUCAGGGUAAAAUUUUGGAGCCAAAAUCGAUAUGGGAACCUGAUAAUGUUCUUUCUUUUCCCUCGGCUCAAACUGAAAGAAUUCCUGCAGCUAACGCCAUUCAUUUCCAGCUUACUCUUUCUGGUUUCCCAGUUUUUCCUUUCAACUUUUAGUUGGUCUUUUAGUAACGUUAUUCUUCAGCUAAAACUCAUUUCCUAUCUGGAAUUUAGCAUGCAACCUAGGCAGUCGGUUAUUCCAGAAGGACUAAAGAAUAUCACAGUCACUUUACCUCUUUCUUUCCACCUGGUGUUUGAAAGAAAGUCGCAGGCUGCACGUUUAGUUUUCCUGUUUCAGUUCCAAACCGCACCAGACUCCCCUUCAUGUUGACUUUGGCUCACCGUGCUGAGGUUACAAACUGGAGAAAUGCAACUAGCAAUAUCUAACUCUCCUCCUCACUCUCUCGGUCGCAACUGGAUGGAAGAGAGAAUCAGAGUUGUUUUCCUUUUUCUCCCUCUGGUUUGAGUGCUGAGAUGAAAGAAAUAUGAUUUCGUCUCUCUCUCAGUCUCGCUCUUAAUCUUGGUCGGUAAGAAGGGAAAUGAAAUGUGUUUCUUCACUCGGCCACCGCCCAAGCAUUAUCACCGCUGUCUCCUUUCUCCCUUGGUCAUCACUCCAUUUAGCAAUUGAGUGGGCAGCUGUCAUCACAGGU